GUCCUAGCUGUAACGGUGCACAUUUGCUGUAAAGGAAUCGACCCUUUGUGGCGAAGCUAACGCGAUAAAUGUGCCGCCUGGGAAGUACGGUCGCAAGAUUAAACUCAAAGAAAUUGACGGGGCCUGCACAAGCGGUGGAGUAUGUGGCUUAAUUCGAUGCAACGCGAAGAACCUUACCUGGCCUUGACAUGUAUAUAGUAGAAGCCCGAAAGGGUGACGAGGGAGCAAUCCCAGUGUACACAGGUGCUGCAUGGCUGUCGU
rnacentral:rRNA from 1 species